rnacentral:lncRNA from 10 species
AGAAAUAGCAGGCAGAAGGAGGUGAGAGAAGCUUACUUGUUGAGUCUUCUGGCCUUCAUCUUUCCUUCACUGGAUGCUUCAGUUCUCAUACAUCAGACUCUUAAGUUCUUUGGCUUUUGGACUCUUGGACUUACACCAGUGGUUUGCCAGGGGCUCUCGGUCCUUCGACACAAAAUAAAGGCGGUACUGCCGGCUUCCUUACUUUCGAGGUUGAGACUCCGACUGAGCCACUACUGGCUUAAUUGCCCCUCAACUUGCAGACGUGGGACUUCACCUUGUGAUCCGAAAAACCAGUUAAUGAAGACUAAAAAUCAAAUGUGGCAGGUUCCAAAAGAAAGUCAUGCUGCAAUUUCUCAAAUGCCACAUCUGCCCCAGGAAUGUCUUUAAGUGAUGAUUUAACAUAUUUGGAUCCUAUUCAGGUUGGCUUCCUCAGAAAGCUGAAGCUAAAAAGGAGUUUAGCACUCCUGGGAUCGAUAUUCCUGGGGAGAGGAGAGCGUAACAAGAUUGAGCAGAGAAUUGGACUUGUAGCACAGAUACAAUAAGACUUCAGGUGACACCACAGAGAGAGAUGAACUGAGUUUGCUCUUCAAAGAGUUUCUAACUUUGAGCCAAGGGGUCUGGAUUCUAUACCCUGUAUCUAGAAGUCAAUGAACACAGGUUGUCAGUGCACAAGAUAUGUCAUUGCACAAAGUAAUUUUGAGCUGAGGCAAAUCCUAAAGAGGACGGAUAUCUGAGGACAGUUAGAUGAGAAACUUUUUGACGGUUUGGAUAAAUUCUUUAGUUGUGAGGGAGGGACCUGCAUGACGCAACACAUAGAUAUGAUGUAGACAAUGUCUGAAGUAUCUCAGUUUCUCAAAAAAUCCACUCGUCUUCUUGAAUAUUGAGAUUGUGAGCAGGAAUAAGUGGAGUGUUCAAAGCCCUUUGAAAAGCUAACCUACUCCAUUAGUGGAGUAUGAUGUAAUAAGUUAAUUUUCAUUUUAAGAUUGGUCAUAGUAUAAAUUACUCACAAUUUAUAAAGCCUAUGAGUCAAAACCCUCCCUGUUCAUUCUAGAAAUAUGCCUCUAUUCCUACGAGGAAGUAUUUUUCACAGACCCAACACAUCUUUUCAUUAAAAAUAAUAUUUUAAUGCCUUUUUUAUUACCCUAAAAUGAAAGUCAUAGAUAAUAUAGCCUAUCUGUAAAUGUAAUUUCAAAAGAUCAAUAUAACACCAUAACUAUAAUAGAAAGGAAAAAUAAGAGAAAAGUCAUUUAUAAUAAAAUAACAUAUGUUUCAAUAUGUAAAUAUUCAGGCAUGACAGCAUUAGAAGAUAUGGUUAAGCAGUCAGGUGCAUGACCUAUAAAUCAACAUAUAUAAGUAUCUGAUUGAAUAUUUAGUAGUAAUUAAAUACCACUGGAGGAUAUACUAUCAAUGAAAUGGUAACCCAAAUUGAAGGCACGCUAAGUAAAUUCCUGAACAAAACAAAUUAAAAUCUUCUUUCCACAUUGCUAGUAUUUGCAUAUUCUGGAGACUUACUGUAUAUUAAAAUUAUUAAAAAAGAGUUCAUAUGUAAAUAAAAUUAACUUUUAAGUUUAG